rnacentral:rRNA from 1 species
AAUGAACAUGUUUCUCAGCAUGAAAUUUCAAAAACCCAUCUGUGUACCCUUCCUGUUGCUUCCGUGCCGCGCGUGCUGGACGGCGUGCCUCCUUGACCAUCUCACCGGGUGUGGUGGGGAUCAUGGGGUGUCGGCGCGGAAGGAUUUACCACAAACCCUUGUGUUUCCAUGUUUUCUGUCUGAACUGUCAUAAGAAUAAUUAAAACUUUCAACAACGGAUCUCUUGGUUCUCGCAUCGAUGAAGAACGCAGCGAAAUGCGAUAAGUAGUGUGAAUUGCAGAAUUCCGUGAAUCAUCGAAUCUUUGAACGCACAUUGCGCCUCCUGGUAUUCCGGGAGGCAUACCUGUUCGAGCGUCAUUAAAAUCAAAUCAAGCGUUUGUGCUUGGUCAUGGAGGAGGAGUUCACCCUGUGGUCUCCCCACCGAAAUCCAAAGGCGGAAAGACUCCGGUACACAGCGUAGUACUAACGUUCGCUUUGUACCUGGAAUCCUACCUGCCGGCAAAACCCCCACAAUUCUCUUGAUUGACCUCGGCUCAGGUAGGGAUA